ensembl:misc_RNA 7SK 7SK RNA
GGAUGUGAGGGCAAUCUGGCUGCACCCCUCUGAUCACCAGGGUGGACUCUUCUGGCUGCUCUGGCUUCCAGGGUGGAUGUUUGUCUGCUUCCUCCCUUUCGCUCCACAUGCGUCCACCCCUCCCGAAGCUGCAUGCUCCAGGCUCCCAAAAGAGGAUGGUAUCAUGGGUCAGGGUACACAAGGAGCUGUGCUCCCCUGCCAGGCCCUCCAAACAAGCUCUCAAAAACUACAGUGCGGCAUAGACAAGGUGCACUGAACAAAAAGGGGCUCAAGGCUUCAUACAUGAGUUG